rnacentral:misc_RNA from 1 species
AACUACAGAGGUGAUGAGGAAUAUUACUAUGAAGACUACCACCCACGUUCUCACCGUGAACGAAAGGAUGAUUGGAGCAACAGCUGCGAGGGAGACUGGAACAGCCAAGGAGGUGGAGGGAAUAGCAACAACGCCAGCAGCAACCAGAACACAACAGUGGCUCUGCUCAACCCAACAACCGGGAGGAGAGCGGCGAUGGUGUUGUGAUUGUAGAUGACCAGCCACAGGUUUCUGAACUCAUCGGUGAUAUUCUUGAUUCCAAUGAUGGCUUUCAGCAAGUCACAAGACGUAAGUCUGGCAAGGAAAAGGGCAAGCCAUUGCCUGAAGAAACCAUCUC